rnacentral:rRNA from 1 species
GGUUAAGCGACUAAGCGUACACGGUGGAUGCCCUGGCAGUCAGAGGCGAUGAAGGACGUGCUAAUCUGCGAUAAGCGCCGGUAAGGUGAUAUGAACCGUUAUAACCGGCGAUUUCCGAAUGGGGAAACCCAGUGUGAUUCGUCACACUAUCAUUAACUGAAUCCAUAGGUUAAUGAGGCGAACCGGGGGAACUGAAACAUCUAAGUACCCCGAGGAAAAGAAAUCAACCGAGAUUCCCCCAGUAGCGGCGAGCGAACGGGGAGGAGCCCAGAGCCUGAAUCAGCAUGUGUGUUAGUGGAAGCGUCUGGAAAGGCGCGCGAUACAGGGUGACAGCCCCGUACACAAAAGCGCAUGUGCUGUGAGCUCGAUGAGUAGGGCGGGACACGUGGUAUCCUGUCUGAAUAUGGGGGGACCAUCCUCCAAGGCUAAAUACUCCUGACUGACCGAUAGUGAACCAGUACCGUGAGGGAAAGGCGAAAAGAACCCCGGCGAGGGGAGUGAAAAAGAACCUGAAACCGUGUACGUACAAGCAGUGGGAGCACAGGUUUACCUGUGUGACUGCGUACCUUUUGUAUAAUGGGUCAGCGACUUAUAUUCUGUAGCAAGGUUAACCGAAUAGGGGAGCCGCAGGGAAACCGAGUCUUAACCGGGCGUUAAGUUGCAGGGUAUAGACCCGAAACCCGGUGAUCUAGCCAUGGGCAGGUUGAAGGUUGGGUAACACUAACUGGAGGACCGAACCGACUAAUGUUGAAAAAUUAGCGGAUGACCUGUGGCUGGGGGUGAAAGGCCAAUCAAACCGGGAGAUAGCUGGUUCUCCCCGAAAGCUAUUUAGGUAGCGCCUCGUGAAUUCAUCUCCGGGGGUAGAGCACUGUUUCGGCUAGGGGGCCAUCCCGGCUUACCAACCCGAUGCAAACUGCGAAUACCGGAGAAUGUUAUCACGGGAGACACACGGCGGGUGCUAACGUCCGUCGUGAAGAGGGAAACAACCCAGACCGCCAGCUAAGGUCCCAAAGUCAUGGUUAAGUGGGAAACGAUGUGGGAAGGCCCAGACAGCCAGGAUGUUGGCUUAGAAGCAGCCAUCAUUUAAAGAAAGCGUAAUAGCUCACUGGUCGAGUCGGCCUGCGCGGAAGAUGUAACGGGGCUAAACCAUGCACCGAAGCUGCGGCAGCGAACGUAUCACUUAAAGCGAUUCAGCGGGUUACGAUUGACGGAGCGAAGCGACGUCAAAGCGUAUACAAAGUCGAGUCGGUUUAAGGAUACGUUCGUUGGGUAGGGGAGCGUUCUGUAAGCCUGCGAAGGUGGCCUGUGAGGGUUGCUGGAGGUAUCAGAAGUGCGAAUGCUGACAUAAGUAACGAUAAAGCGGGUGAAAAGCCCGCUCGCCGGAAGACCAAGGGUUCCUGUCCAACGUUAAUCGGGGCAGGGUGAGUCGACCCCUAAGGCGAGGCCGAAAGGCGUAGUCGAUGGGAAACGGGUUAAUAUUCCCGUACUUGGUGUUACUGCGAAGGGGGGACGGAGAAGGCUAUGUUGGCCGGGCGACGGUUGUCCCGGUUUAAGCGUGUAGGCUGGUUUUCCAGGCAAAUCCGGAAAAUCAAGGCUGAGGCGUGAUGACGAGGCACUACGGUGCUGAAGCAACAAAUGCCCUGCUUCCAGGAAAAGCCUCUAAGCAUCAGGUAACAUCAAAUCGUACCCCAAACCGACACAGGUGGUCAGGUAGAGAAUACCAAGGCGCUUGAGAGAACUCGGGUGAAGGAACUAGGCAAAAUGGUGCCGUAACUUCGGGAGAAGGCACGCUGACAUGUAGGUGAAGUGAUUUACUCACGGAGCUGAAGUCAGUCGAAGAUACCAGCUGGCUGCAACUGUUUAUUAAAAACACAGCACUGUGCAAACACGAAAGUGGACGUAUACGGUGUGACGCCUGCCCGGUGCCGGAAGGUUAAUUGAUGGGGUCAGCGCAAGCGAAGCUCCUGAUCGAAGCCCCGGUAAACGGCGGCCGUAACUAUAACGGUCCUAAGGUAGCGAAAUUCCUUGUCGGGUAAGUUCCGACCUGCACGAAUGGCGUAAUGAUGGCCAGGCUGUCUCCACCCGAGACUCAGUGAAAUUGAACUCGCUGUGAAGAUGCAGUGUACCCGCGGCAAGACGGAAAGACCCCGUGAACCUUUACUAUAGCUUGACACUGAACAUUGAGCCUUGAUGUGUAGGAUAGGUGGGAGGCUUUGAAGCGUGGACGCCAGUCUGCGUGGAGCCGACCUUGAAAUACCACCCUUUAAUGUUUGAUGUUCUAACGUGGACCCGUAAUCCGGGUUGCGGACAGUGUCUGGUGGGUAGUUUGACUGGGGCGGUCUCCUCCUAAAGAGUAACGGAGGAGCACGAAGGUUGGCUAAUCCUGGUCGGACAUCAGGAGGUUAGUGCAAUGGCAUAAGCCAGCUUGACUGCGAGCGUGACGGCGCGAGCAGGUGCGAAAGCAGGUCAUAGUGAUCCGGUGGUUCUGAAUGGAAGGGCCAUCGCUCAACGGAUAAAAGGUACUCCGGGGAUAACAGGCUGAUACCGCCCAAGAGUUCAUAUCGACGGCGGUGUUUGGCACCUCGAUGUCGGCUCAUCACAUCCUGGGGCUGAAGUAGGUCCCAAGGGUAUGGCUGUUCGCCAUUUAAAGUGGUACGCGAGCUGGGUUUAGAACGUCGUGAGACAGUUCGGUCCCUAUCUGCCGUGGGCGCUGGAGAACUGAGGGGGGCUGCUCCUAGUACGAGAGGACCGGAGUGGACGCAUCACUGGUGUUCGGGUUGUCAUGCCAAUGGCACUGCCCGGUAGCUAAAUGCGGAAGAGAUAAGUGCUGAAAGCAUCUAAGCACGAAACUUGCCCCGAGAUGAGUUCUCCCUGAGACUUAGAGUCUCCUGAAGGAACGUUGAAGACGACGACGUUGAUAGGCCGGGUGUGUAAGCGCAGCGAUGCGUUGAGCUAACCGGUACUAAUGAACCGUGAGGCUUAACCUU